rnacentral:lncRNA from 1 species
GAGGGGCAGUUAGGUCCGCUGUGUAAUCAGGCAGACGUGUCCGCGGCCUCCAAGCGCAGGAGAGGGAAGCGCCGGAGCCCGGCGCCGCAGAGCGCCUCGCGCGAAUGGGACCUGCGCACCUGUUCCGAGAGCCGCCGACACCGUGCCAGCUCAAGGCAGGUUUCUUCUCCCUCACGGCCUUUCCCAGACCCAGGCAGCACCACAAAUACCCACCAGCUACUCCUCUCACAUCACUGCAGUGCUGCCCUGACCGAGCAGAGUCAUGCUGCGCGACUGGUGGCAUAUGGCUCAGAGUUCGCAUUUGCGUCCUCUGAGCCACGUGAGCAGCGACUGACUGGAGAAAAGACAUUGUGCAGAAGAGGAGGAGGACGAGGAGACGUUCUGGCAGGAAUCCAGCCGGUUGGAGGCAAGCCUGAGCCAUCUUUUAUGGCAGCCUUCCAUGCCACAUUACAGACAAUCAGCGACGGGCUUCUGACUGUCUUGGGAAAUGAGACGCAAAACAAUAGCGUGCGACCAGACAGUGGCUGCGCGGUGACCCCGCCGAGUAGCACCGAGGCAAAACCAGACAGGAUGGAUAAACACACCCUGAGCCCCGAGGUUGAAGAGGAC